CCUAACACAUGCAAGUCGAACGAGAAAGCGGGGGCAACUCCGCGAGUAAAGUGGCGACCGGGUGAGUAACACGUGACUAACCUGCCCUCGAGCGGGGGAUAACCCCGGGAAACCGGGGCUAAUACCGCAUAACAUCUUCGAUAUGAAAGUAUUGAGGAUCAAAGGAGCAAUUCACUUGAGGAGGGGGUCGCGGCCGAUUAGCUAGUUGGCGGGGUAACGGCCCACCAAGGCUGAGAUCGGUAGCCGGCCUGAGAGGGCGCACGGCCACACUGGAACUGAAACACGGUCCAGACUCCUACGGGAGGCAGCAGUGGGGAAUUUUGCGCAAUGGGGGGAACCCUGACGCAGCAACGCCGCGUGGAGGAUGAAGUCCCUUGGGACGUAAACCCCUUUCGACCGGGAAGAUAAUGACGGUACCGGAAGAAGAAGCACCGGCUAACUCUGUGCCAGCAGCCGCGGUAAUACAGAGGGUGCGAGCGUNGUUCGGAAUUAUUGGGCGUAAAGGGCGCG
rnacentral:rRNA from 1 species